CGGAACGGGUGAGUAAUGCGUGACCAACCUGCCCCAUGCUCCAGAAUAGCUCUUGGAAACGGGUGGUAAUGCUGGAUGCUCCAACUUGACGCAUGUCUCGUUGGGAAAGUGUUUAGUGGCAUGGGAUGGGGUCGCGUCCUAUCAGCUUGUAGGCGGGGUAAUGGCCCACCUAGGCUUCGACGGGUAGCCGGCCUGAGAGGGCGGACGGCCACAUUGGGACUGAGAUACGGCCCAGACUCCUACGGGAGGCAGCAGCC
rnacentral:rRNA from 1 species